GCCCUGAGGAUUUUUCCCAGCUUUUCCAGCUCUGAUGCUCACGCGGAGCUCCACGAAGCUGGUCAUAUGGAAGUUCCCAAGCAAGGGGCUGAAUUGGAGCUGAAGCUGCUGGCCUUCACCACAGCCACAGCAAGGUGGUAUCUACACCACAGCUCAUGCCCCAUCCCGGACCCGCGGAGCGAGGACUAAUAGACUUUAGAUGGAGGGCAUGUACCAAGAAGAGAACAAAGACCAACGAUAACUUUUAGUACCAGAAAUUUGUUUUCCAAACACCUGCUCUUCUCACCUUCCUGGGAUUUGUCUUCCUCCGCUUUGAAGUCCUGACCCCCACCCCCUUCUUAGCUCAGGGCCCUCUACUGGAUAGAGACCUGGGCUCUGCUCAUUCUGGGGCUGCUGCAGCUGAGAGAUCCUGGACCCUGGGAUAGAUGCCAGCAGAAGUUAAGAAUUCUUACCACGUCUUUGAUUGCUUAAGAAAACUGAGCCUUCUCUAUUAAAGGAGGACUAAGAGACUGAUUCAGCGAGAUGGAACAAUCUUCCAACUCAACUUCUGGAUGGUGAAACUUCUUGGGGAUGCCUCGGGGCAGGAUCGAGGGAGGGCAGAAUAUGCCACCCCCAAAAUAUGCCACUUUGGAAAAGGGAUUAUUUUCAGCUGAAGACAAUCAAGGCCUGACAGACUCAGGAAGAGCUGUAUACCUUCCCUUACCAGGAAGAGAGUGAAUAUCAAAGAACUUUUGUAUCAGAAACUUAUCCGCAUGGCAUUAUCAGAUACCUGCUCUUCUUCCUUUCUGGGGCUUGUCUCCUCCACUUUGAAGUCCUGACCCCUACCCCCUUUCUCCUUAGCUCAGGAUGGCAUGUAAGCCUCAAUGGCCUGACUGUCUUGGGGUCUCAUGUCUUUGGGGCUCCUGUACAUAUGAAAUUUGUUUCUCCUGUUCAUCUGUCUUAUAUCAAUUUAAAUAUUAGACUGGCCAAGGAACCUAGAAGGGAAGAAGGGAAAAGCUUUCUGCCCCUACAUCAUCAAUUCAUUUUGAGGCCUGAUUUAGGAGUCUACAACGGCCUUGUGUUCUCUCAGAAGAGAUGGCAAGGACCUUCUCAUCUUCAGGGGCUUUGGACUUCUAGCCCCUUUGGCUGAGGCCAGGUCGGAGCCUCUUAUUGGGCCCCAGCUAGAAUAAGUUUAUAUGCUUUAUUCCUUUUCUUGGGUCAUCAUUUCCCCAUCUUUUAAAAUAAGAAUUAAUUUUAGAAGAAGUGUUUUCAUGGCUCUUGGUGCCCUUUUGGUGCCUUUUAUAUUAAACCUCCUCUUUUUUUAUUAUUUUGCUAUGCCCAUAGCAUAUAGAAGUUCCCAGGCCAGGUAUCGAACCUGCGCCUACAGUAGUGACAAUGUCAAAUCAUUAACCACUGGCCACCAGAGAACUCCUGAACCUCCUCGUUUAUGUUAUUUCCUCUAAACCAAGAGUGUUCAUGGAACACAUGCUAUGCACAGAACUAGAAAUAAAAAGUAAAUUAAAUAUGUUCCUACUUUCUGGGCAUUGAAAAACUUAUUUGGACUGGGGAUAAAGAAAAAGUUUGGGAAAUUGAUGGUGGUGAUGGUUGCACAACAAUGUGAGUGGACUUAAUUCCACCGAACUGUACAUUUAAAAAAGUAUGAAAAUGGGAGUUCCUAUUGUGGCUCAGUGGGUUAAGAACCGGAAUAGUAUCCAUGGGGAUGCAGGUUUGAUUCCUGGCCUCACUCAGUGGGUUAAGGAUCUGGUGUUACUGUAAGCUGCAGUGUAGGUUGCAGAUGUGGCUUGGAUCUGGCACUGCUGUGACUGUGGCAUAGGCCAGCAGCUGCAGCUCUGAUAUGACCCCUAGCCUGGGAACUUCCAUAUGCUGCAGGUGUGGCCCUAAAAAAAAAAAAAAAAAAAAAAAAA
rnacentral:lncRNA from 1 species